UUAGCUUGCUAAGGCCGAUGGCGACCGGCGCACGGGUGAGUAACACGUAUCCAACCUGCCGUCUACUCUUGGACAGCCUUCUGAAAGGAAGAUUAAUACAAGAUGGCAUCAUGAGUUCACAUGUUCACAUGAUUAAAGGUAUUCCGGUAGACGAUGGGGAUGCGUUCCAUUAGAUAGUAGGCGGGGUAACGGCCCACCUAGUCUUCGAUGGAUAGGGGUUCUGAGAGGAAGGUCCCCCACAUUGGAACUGAGACACGGUCCAAACUCCUACGGGAGGCAGCAGUGAGGAAUAUUGGUCAAUGGGCGCAGGCCUGAACCAGCCAAGUAGCGUGAAGGAUGACUGCCCUAUGGGUUGUAAACUUCUUUUAUAAAGGAAUAAAGUCGGGUAUGUAUACCCGUUUGCAUGUACUUUAUGAAUAAGGAUCGGCUAACUCCGUGCCAGCAGCCGCGGUAAUACGGAGGAUCCGAGCGUCAUCCGGAUUUAUUGGGUUUAAAGGGAGCGUAGAUGGAUGUUUAAGUCAGUUGUGAAAGUUUGCGGCUCAACCGUAAAAUUGCAGUUGAUACUGGAUAUCUUGAGUGCAGUUGAGGCAGGCGGAAUUCGUGGUGUAGCGGUGAAAUGCUUAGAUAUCACGAAGAACUCCGAUUGCGAAGGCAGCCUGCUAAGCUGCAACUGACAUUGAGGCUCGAAAGUGUGGGUAUCAAACAGG
rnacentral:rRNA from 1 species